AGUCCUGUAGCUCAGUUGGUUAGAGCACAUCCCUGAUAAGGAUGAGGUCAGCGGUUCGACCCCGCUUGGGACUACCA
rnacentral:tRNA from 1 species